GAAGAUUUAGUUUAUAUAAAACAUUAAUUUGUCAAGUUAAAAAUAUCUAAGAUAAUUUUCU
rnacentral:tRNA from 1 species